rnacentral:lncRNA from 1 species
AUGACUUUGGAAAGUUGGAUUAACAUCCAUCAGGAUGAUGAACCAGCACUAAAGAAGAAAAUAUACAGUGUAAUUAAAUACAGAGUCAUCACGUUAAAAGUGAAGAACUCCCACAGAGGAGAGUGCUGGGUUUUACAGACUCCUAUGGAGACCAUAUGAAGCUUGUAUUCAAAAUGGCAUCUGUGGCUUUGAGCCUGCCUUCUGCCCUUUCAAAGAUUUCUGCUUAGUUCAAAGAAAUACUGUGUUUGAACACAGACAUCGCGAGAACUUAGGAAGUUGAGAGAAAAGUUGAGGCUCUUCUUCCCACUUCCUUGAGAUUUCAACCUCUUUUAAAUCAGGUUUCUAAAAUGGUUUUCCUGCCCUCCAAACGUUCCCAGAUUGGAUUCCUAGAAUCAUUGGUCCCUUGCCUGAAGCUAGGUCAAUGAUGAGCAACUGUUGAACUCUCGAACACUGUAACAUCUGUUUCUGCCUUCAAGAAGUUUAUAAUCCAGUAGUCAGUAAACUAUGGCUCAGGGACCUAACCCAGCCUGCCAUCUCUUUUUGUGUAAUCUGUGAACUAAGAAAGGUUCUCACAUUUUUAAAUAGUUGGGGAAAAAAUCAAAAGAAUAAUACUUCAUGUCACGUGAAAAUUAUAUAAAAUUAAAAGUUAGAGCUUCAAACAUGAAGUUCUGAUGAAACAGUUUUUCUAUUCAUUUAUAUAUGGUGUAUGGCUGCUGUCACACUAAAAUGGCAGAGUUCAGUAGUUGUGACAGAUGUUGUAAGGCAUGAAACACCCAAAAUAUUUACUGUCUGGCCCAUUACAGAAAGAGUUUGUAACUCCUGUUAUAAUCUCAUGGAAGAGCCACUACUAAUAACCGUAAAAUAAUAAAUGAGCAUACUGAAAUGCAGUAUGGUACUAAUUCUUAAAUGGAAAACUAGUGGAAAAUUGGCAUUUUAACUGAGAAAGAUAUAUGUCUCUGAGAUUGCUUUUGUUUGGAAAGGGAUUCAAGAAGCAAAAGAGGACAGGAGCCAGUUUUAAGAAAUAGUGAGUUUUGAGGGGAUAGAGAGUAGCAGAAAAGAUAUAUCAGGUUGGCUAGACAGAGCAAAGAUGAGAUCUGAUAUGGCAGAAGUGAGGCUCUGGGAAAUGAUUUUUGUGACCUACAAUGAGAGUGAGAAGUCUAGGUUAUUUAAAACAUCAAGGGUAAAUGAGUUGUCUUCUGUUCUGAUUGUGAUAUUUAGGAAUAGAGGGUGAAUCACUGAGAAAAGGAAAUGUAAAUUUUUUUUUUUUUUGAGACGGAGUUUUGCUCUUGUCACCCAGGCUGGAGUGCAAUGGCGCGAUCUUGGCUCACCGCAACCUCUGCCUCCUGGGUUCAGGCAAUUCUCCUGUCUCCGGCUCCUGAGUAGCUGAGGAAAUGUAAAAUUUAAAAGUAAAAUCAAGUUCAAGGGAACUUAGGCUGGGGAAUGAAAGACAUACGCUCGCUCUAUGUCAUUGAAACAGUUAAUCCUGUUUCCAAAGGUGGCAAAGAACUGACAAGAAAGAAAGAAGUAUCGGCUGGCCAUGGUGGCUCAUGCCUGUAAUUCCAGCACUUUGGGAGGCCGAGGUAGGCGGAUCACAAGGUCAGGAGUUCGAGACCAGCGUGACCAACAUGGUGAAACACCGUCUCUUCUAAAAAUACAAAACUUAGCCAGGCAUAGUGGUGCAUGCCUGUAGUCCCAGUUACUCAGGAGGCUAAGGCAGGAGAAUCACUUGAACCCAGGUGGUGGAGGUUGCAGUAAGCUGAGAUCUUGCCACUGCACUCCAGCCUGGUGACAAAGUGAGACUCCAUCUACAAAAAAAGUGAAAGAGAGAAGUAUCAAGAGCCAGGAGGAUCUUAUUUACAUACAAAAUAAGCUAAGAAGGUGGUAGGAUCCUAAGGUAAAAACCAUACAAGCAUAUCCACGAUGUUUUAUGUUGCAUUUGGGUCAUUUUUCUUUAACUAUUCUUUAAUCGGAUGAGGUGAUGGCUAUAAUUUUAAUUAUAUGGUUAAUUCCAAACAAUUAUCUAAUAAAAUCACACUGCAUGAGAAAAAUGCAAUGUGCAGUUUUACAUGUGGCUAUUUCCGCUUUAAAAUACAACACAGGAUACAGGAAGUACAGAACAUUAUGAGUUGUUUGCUAGCUUAGGCCUCUAUACUGCAAUAUGUUGGAGAAGUAUUUUAUAAUGUGAUUGGCCUUUGGAUUUAAUUAGAAAGUAAUGCAAAAGAAAAUGCUUAAUUAUGAAGUUAUGAUACCAUUGCAUUCUAUUUGACUUGUCAUGUAAUUCAAACCUUUGUCUUAUUUUCUUUCCGUA